CCCUGUUGGAAGUUGUGAGAGGGUAAACCAGGCUUUGUGGCCCCCUGCUGGAGGCCCUGCUAAUCUGCUUUGCCCUGCACCAGGAAAGGAUCAGCAAAGGUGGGUCCUCCCGGCCUGCCUAGAGAGGCCUCACAGAAGCAGCCAAUCAGAGUCCAGCAGGCUCAGGUAAAAGGAGCUGCAGGGCCUUAGCGGGUUAGUUCCUGCCUGAGACCAGAGGUCUAGUAAGGGUUGCUCCUCUCUGGGCUUGAGGGAUAACCAGAGUUUGAUUCUGGAUGUGCUUGUUUAAACUGGGAGAGAGAACUUGAACCCUAAGGGAAGGGAUGAAGAUAAAGGGGCAAGGUGGAAAGAGGCCCAGGGAAGUAGCAGUAACAAAUUGAAAGGAGCAAUACAUGGCUGCUGGUAUAGAGUUCCUGUGUUGCAACCAAGAGUUGUGGUGAGCCUGGGUUUCCCCACCGGCCACCAGCAAAAUGGCAUAAACCCCAAGAAAGGGACAAGGCUUGUUUGGAAGUCAGAGCAAAGGGCUGAAUUUAAAGAGCCCCAAACUGGGGCUGAAGACCCUGAUAGACAGUUUUGUUGGACUCUGUGCUACACCAGAAGGGAUCCAUUUUGAAGGUGAGACCUGGCCGAGGGGCUGAGCCAGUGAAGACCUGCCAAGCGAGGUUGACAACUUACAGUGGGCACCGGGAGCAAGAAAAGGACCGCAGUACUCCAUGCAACAGCAGGAGAUUCUCAAGAGGAGUCUUCAGCAGCACCACAUCCCAAAGGCAUCAAUUCUCUUCUUGUCAGCAGCAUUCAUUCCUCACAAUUCACAUCCAUAGGUCGCUAUGGAAAAAAUAAGCUUUUCACCUUUGUACAUUCUGAGAUGCCACAAUUAUUGCAAAGUUUUUCAUAACAGAGGCCAGGGACAGUGAUCAGUCAAGGUAAAUGAAUAAAGAGGAAGGAGGGGAGGAGAAAGGACGCUCUAUCAGUAACUACAUAAGGAGCCACUGGCAUUGGCAAGUGUGUCAUCUGGAAGUAGAGCACGAGACUUUAAAGCUCCUGAUUAAAAGCCAUGGAUAUUGUUCACUUCAGAAGCAAUAUUCUACUUCGUAUCAUUACUGCAGUUUGUGCUCUGUAGAUCCACCUUCUUGUAAAGUAAAUGUGAGUUUGCCCCUCAUGGGGGAAGGAAAACAUGUCUUGAGUUACAGCCCUUCAAGUUCGCCUUACCAGUUAG